GUGGUGGUACUGAAGAGGGGCGCAGAGGUGGUGGACCCGAACAGCGACGAGCCAGUGGCGCCGCCAAACCCUAAAGCCGGUGCUGAUGUCGGCGUGGAUGCAGUGCUUGACGCGGCCGGCCCCGAGUUGAACGAGAAGCCAAAUGAUGGUGCCGGGGCGGCGGCCGUGGUAGUGGUGGAACCGGACGCCGACGAGCCAAAGCUAAAUCCCGUGGCCCCUCCAGAGAAGAGGCUUGGAGUGGACGCAGCAGAAGAGGCGGCGCCGAACGGACUAACUGUCGCCGCCGUGGAAGAGGUGGCCCCGAAUGGGCUCGGGGUGGUCGCUGCGGAGGAAGUCCCGCCGAAUAGGCCCGAGGUGCCACCGAACAGACUCGGGGAGGUUGCCGCAGAGCCAGUGGCGGACGCACCGAAGAGGCCGGGGCUGCUUGCGGCAGUGGAGGUGGCGCCGAAGAACCCAGGGCUGCUUGCGGCGGAGGUAGCAGCGCCGAAUAAGCUAAGGGUUGUUCCAGCGGAGGAUGCGGGCGUUGCACCGAAAAGGGAUGGCGCGGACGCGGCCGAUGAGGCCGCCGCCAUGGACUGACCGAACGAGAAGGUGG
rnacentral:misc_RNA from 1 species